rnacentral:rRNA from 1 species
UUGACCUCGGAUCAGGUAGGGAUACCCGCUGAACUUAAGCAUAUCAAUAAGCGGAGGAAAAGAAACCAACAGGGAUUGCCCCAGUAACGGCGAGUGAAGCGGCAAGAGCUCAAAUUUGAAAGCUGGCUCCUUCGGGGUCCGCAUUGUAAUUUGCAGAGGAUGCUUCGGGAGCGGUCCCCAUCUAAGUGCCCUGGAACGGGACGUCAUAGAGGGUGAGAAUCCCGUAUGGGAUGGGGUGUCCGCGCCCAUGUGAAGCUCCUUCGACGAGUCGAGUUGUUUGGGAAUGCAGCUCUAAAUGGGUGGUAAAUUUCAUCUAAAGCUAAAUAUUGGCCGGAGACCGAUAGCGCACAAGUAGAGUGAUCGAAAGAUGAAAAGCACUUUGAAAAGAGAGUUAAAAAGCACGUGAAAUUGUUGAAAGGGAAGCGCUUGCGAUCAGACUCGCUCGCGGGGUUCAGCCGGCAUUCGUGCCGGUGUACUUCCCCGCGGGCGGGCCAGCGUCGGUUUGGGCGGUCGGUCAAAGGCCCUCGGAAGGUAACGCCCCCUCGGGGGCGUCUUAUAGCCGAGGGUGCAAUGCGACCUGCCUGGACCGAGGAACGCGCUUCGGCUCGGACGCUGGCAUAAUGGUCGUAAGCGACC